rnacentral:rRNA from 1 species
UGCAGUCGAGGGGUAACAGAGAAGCUUGCUUCUGCUGACGACCGGCGCACGGGUGCGUAACGCGUAUGCAACCUACCUCAUACUGGAGAAUAGCCCUUGGAAACGAGGAUUAAUACUCCAUGGUAUCAUUCUUUCGCAUGUUAGAAUGAUUAAAGAAUUUCGGUAUGAGAUGGGCAUGCGUCCCAUUAGCUWGUUGGUGAGGUAACGGCUCACCAAGGCRACGAUGGGUAGGGGGCCUGAGAGGGUGGUCCCCCACACUGGUACUGAGACACGGACCAGACUCCUACGGGAGGCAGCAGUGAGGAAUAUUGGUCAAUGGAGGCAACUCUGAACCAGCCAUGCCGCGUGAAGGAUGACGGCCCUAUGGGUUGUAAACUUCUUUUAUAUGGGAAGAAACUUAUCUACGUGUAGAUAACUGACGGUACCAUACGAAUAAGGAUCGGCUAACUCCGUGCCAGCAGCCGCGGUAAUACGGAGGAUCCAAGCGUUAUCCGGAUUCAUUGGGUUUAAAGGGUCCGUAGGCGGAUUUUUAAGUCAGUGGUGAAAGCCGACAGCUCAACUGUCGAACUGCCAUUGAUACUGGAAAUCUUGAGUACAAAUGAAGUAGGCGGAAUGAGUCAUGUAGCGGUGAAAUGCAUAGAUAUGACUCAGAACACCGAUUGCGAAGGCAGCUUACUAACAUGUAACUGACGCUGAGGGACGAAAGCGUGGGGAGCGAACAGGAUUAGAUACCCUGGUAGUCCACGCCGUAAACGAUCAUCACUCGCUGUUGGCGAUAUACUGUCAGCGGCCAAGCGAAAGUAUUAAGUGAUGCACCUGGGGAGUACGCCG